ACUUUAUAUCUUAGAGCCCAUUAUUCACAAGACUUUUCCUUGCUAAACAUCUCAUAGGCCAACACUUGUCCUUGUGCCCUUGAAUGUGUCUUUUGUGUACGGCCCCUUACUCUACUGUUCAGCUUCCUAGCAUUUAGCAAGUCCUUUUUGCUUUUCUAGGGAAAGCACUGCAUACUUGACGUGUCUGGGAAUGCGAUAAAACGACUACAAGUAGCACAACUCUACCCCAUUGCCAUCUUUAUAAAGCCUAGAUCCAUCGAGUCCUUAAUGGAGAUGAAUAAAAGGUUGACAGAGGAACAGGCCAAAAAGACAUACGACCGUGCCAUGAAACUGGAGCAGGAGUUUGGCGAGUAUUUCUCAGGUAGCAGAAAAGUUCCUAAUCCAUCCAGAGGACCUGAGCGGCGCCUUUAUGCUCAGAUAUCACCUCAUUUGCAUAUUCUAAUAGUCUCUUGCAUAUGCAUUACCUCAGAGGCCAACCACUGCAGCCUGUUACAUCAAUCAUGUUUGACAGCAGAGCCAUGUUGCUGAUGGUCUCCCCUGAGUGAAACACAUAAACUUUCUCAUGAAAUUUGCAUUAGCGUGACCCCCGAGAGGAAUAUGAAAAAGCAUGCAGUGACAUGAUGAUUAAUAUGAGGGCAUUUUGAACCCGUUUGACAAUGCUACUGCUUUUUAUUUUUUUAUUCCGUUGCUCUGCACCUGCAAGAAAGCUCCUGGAAGAGAUUAAAAAGUCUGUUGCUUUGCUAAUAAUGUUGCAUGCUUAAAUAGAAGAACUAUCUUUCUUAUCAGAAAAAAGAAAAGAUAUUUUUAAAUGAAUAGGCUGCAUAAUACUCACUACUUUGUUAGAUAUUCUGUUGCUGGGUAAAAUGUCUAUUCUUACAAUUUAUGCAGAAGAAUCCAUGAACAAUAAUGCGGCUAAUGGGCCAUUAAGUUCAAAAAUGAUCAUUAUGAAACUGUCAUCAGGGUUUCUUACUUCUUGUGGUGCAAAAUGAAGAAGAUGUUUAAAAAUCUUUUAACAUCAGCUCUUUCUCUUUUUCUCUCAGCGCUAGUUCAAGGAGACACACUAGAGGACAUUUAUAGCCAGUGUAAGAUGGUGAUAGAGGAACAGUCUGGACCUUACAUCUGGAUUCCCUCAAAAGAAAAACUAUAAAGAAAAAUAAUCACCUUACCCUGGCAGGGACCUUGGACUGGAGAAAAAAACACACAUAGGAAUAAUUUGUAAUAUAACAUAAAUUAUUAUUAUGGCAAUGUUUAUUGUUAACUCUUACAGUGAUUAUUUUUUUCUUUUUUCAGUUUGUUUAUUUUACAUUGCAUUUUUCACUUUCAAUAUGAAUGUUCCUGAAUGUACACCACAAAGUGUUAGAAGCAUUUUUGGUCUCAACAAAAAAGUGGACUCUUUGUUUGUAUAUUUAUUGGUUAGCUUUUUAAUUUAAGGAAAAAAAAGGACACAAAAUUUAUAACCAAGUAUUCUUCUUCAAACAAUCUUCGGUUGGGAUUUCGAGUGAAAGGUCAAAGAAGUAGGUCUGAUCAUCGCGGAUGAUUUCCACACCCCAUCUCCACAUCCAAGAAAAAAAAAAGCUUUCUUCACUUUUCACCCAAUCGGUUGUUUCACACAUCUCCCAGACUCAUUUCACAAACUCUCUAGCAUCUAUGCACUCCUGUGGCUAACAACACGCACAUUGAUUGUGUUGCUUUUUGUUGUAUUAUUUUGUUAAUUUUGUUUUGUACAGAAGUCCAUUUUGUUGAAAAAUUUAGUUCCAAUUGUACAUUAUUUCUAAUGGAUCCUUUCAGAAAAGAAUCUGGUGAUUUUAAGAUGCUUUAGUUAGUGUAAAUGGAUACGGGGUAAGAAAUAUGACACUAUAUUUUGCUAUUUAUAUUGAUAGAGGACACAACAGCACAGAAAAUAUUUAUAAAGAUGGUAUAUAACUUUGUCUAAAAAUCAUUUUGGAAAAGAGAUUUUACUGGUACUGGUGUAUCAUAUUGUGUCGUCGCUGUUGUGUUGGCGAGAAUGAAAGGUAAUGAGUGCAUGUUUCCGUCCAGUUCCAGAAUCUGCUAAUUUUAAUCCGACAAGAGUUCUGAAAUUCUUGGAACUCAACUUUAAUUGGCUGAGGAUUCUACCAAAUCUGAAUUGAGUGUGUUUCAGCUUUGUUC
rnacentral:lncRNA from 1 species